rnacentral:rRNA from 1 species
GAUGAACGCUGGCGGCGUGCCUAAUACAUGCAAGUCGAGCGAACGGACGAGAAGCUUGCUUCUCUGAUGUUAGCGGCGGACGGGUGAGUAACACGUGGAUAACCUACCUAUAAGACUGGGAUAACUUCGGGAAACCGGAGCUAAUAACGGAUAAUAUUUUGAACCGCAUGGUUCAAAAGUGAAAGACGGUCUUGCUGUCACUUAUAGAUGGAUCCGCGCUGCAUUAGCUAGUUGGUAAGGUAACGGCUUACCAAGGCAACGAUGCAUAGCCGACCUGAGAGGGUGAUCAGCCACACUGGAACUGAGACACGGUCCAGACUCCUACGGGAGGCAGCAGUAGGGAAUCUUCCGCAAUGGGCGCAAGCCUGACGGAGCAACGCCGCGUGAGUGAUGAAGGUCUUCGGAUCGUAAAACUCUUUUAUUAGGGAAGAACAUAUGUGUAAGUAACUGUGCACAUCUUGACGGUACCUAAUCAGAAAGCCACGGCUAACUACGUG